GAGAUGCUCGGCAGCCGGGCUCCUGGAGGGGCGUGCGCAGCGCGGGACGGCGGCCGCGAGCCUCAGCGCCUUUUCAUCUGACACUGGGGACACAAUCCAGACUCCUCCGGCAGCGCGGGGACUCGCGAGGGAACGGAGCUGCAGAGGAAUUCACUGGCGAUGGAUCCAGAUACCGGGAGUGCCACAGUAAUUGGAAACAUUUUGCAGAGGAAAACACACACACGGACUGGCCAGGGCAUUGAAAGCAUCCUUUGAAAACUGCUUGCUCACCUUUUGUGUCUCAUUUUUUCUCCCUUCGGUGCCCUAAAGCCUUCACCGAAUAGAUGUUUGACUUUU